rnacentral:rRNA from 1 species
AACGAACGCUGGCGGCAUGCCUAACACAUGCGAGUCGAACGAGACCUUCGGGUCUAGUGGCGCACGGGUGCGUAACGCGUGGGAACCUGCCCUUAGGUUCGGAAUAACUCCCCGAAAGGGGUGCUAAUACCGGAUAAUGUCUUCGGACCAAAGAUUUAUCGCCUUUGGAUGGGCCCGCGUUGGAUUAGCUAGUUGGUAGGGUAAAAGCCUACCAAGGCGACGAUCCAUAGCUGGUCUGAGAGGAUGAUCAGCCACACUGGGGCUGAGACACGGCCCAGACUCCUACGGGAGGCAGCAGUGGGGAAUAUUGGACAAUGGGCGAAAGCCUGAUCCAGCAAUGCCGCGUGAGUGAUGAAGGCCUUAGGGUUGUAAAGCUCUUUUACCCGGGAUGAUAAUGACAGUACCGGGAGAAUAAGCUCCGGCUAACUCCGUG